rnacentral:rRNA from 1 species
UACGUAGGGUGCAAGCGUUAAUCGGAAUUACUGGGCGUAAAGCGUGCGCAGGCGGUUAUGCAAGACAGAUGUGAAAUCCCCGGGCUUAACCUGGGAACCGCAUUUGUGACUGCAUAGCUGGAGUACGGCAGAGGGGGAUGGAAUUCCGCGUGUAGCAGUGAAAUGCGUAGAUAUCAGGAGGAACACCGGUGGCGAAGGCGCUCAUCUGGCCCAAUACUGACGCUGAGGCGCGAAAGCUAGGGGAGCAAACAGG